rnacentral:rRNA from 1 species
CGGAGGGUGCAAGCGUUAUCCGGAUUCACUGGGUUUAAAGGGUGCGUAGGAGGGCGGAUAAGUCAGUGGUGAAAUCUUCGAGCUUAACUCGGAAACUGCCGUUGAUACUAUUUGUCUUGAAUAUCGUGGAGGUGAGCGGAAUAUGUCAUGUAGCGGUGAAAUGCUUAGAUAUGACAUAGAACACCAAUUGCGAAGGCAGCUCGCUACACGAAUAUUGACUCUGAGGCACGAAAGCGUGGGAUCAAACAGGAUU